UGUGCCCCUUAUGAAUCCAUUUGCUUUUACCGAAUGCUAUAUAUAUAUAAUAAGUAUAUAGGGUAUUU
rnacentral:tRNA from 1 species